GGUUUAUAAUUACAGCUAUUUAAAGAGUUAGAGUUAGGUCUAGGUCUAGUGUUAAGGUUAGGUUUACUGUGAUGAUGAUGUUUAGAGCCAGGGUUACUGUUAGAUUCAGAAUCAAGGUCAGGGUUAUUUUUUGGGUUAGGGUUAGACUAUAAUUAGGGAUAGAAUUAGGGCUAGGUGUAGGGUUAGGGUUUGUUUUAGGAUAAGGGUUAAGGUUAGGGCUAUGACUCUGUUGAGUUUUGUUUUAGGGCUACGGGUAGGGUUAGGGUUAGUUUUAAGAUUAGUCUUAAGGUUAGGGCUACAGUGUGAAAUUUAGGCUUAGGUUAAGAAUUAGGGAUAAGAGUAGAGUUAUGGUUAGAUUUAGUCUUAGGGUUAGGGUUAAAUUUAGAGUUAGGUUUAGAUCUAGGUUUUGAGAAAGGGCUAAGUAUAGGACUAGGGUAGGGCUACGUUUAGCGCUAGGUGUAUGCUGAUGGUAAGGAAUAGGGUUAGAACUAGGUAUAGGGCUAGUUUGAGAGUUAGAGUUAGUCUUAGGGCUAGGGUUAGGGUUCAGGAUAGGGCUAGAUUAGGGAUAGGAUUAGGGCUAGUGUUAGUGUUAGGGUUAGGCCUAGGGUUAGAGCUAGGGUUGGUGUUAGGUUUAGGGUUAGGGUUAGGUUUAGGGUAAUGGAUGGGAAUAUAGCUACUCUUAGGACUAGGGUGAGUUUUAGGGUUAAGGUUAGGGCUAACAUUAGGGUUAGUGUUAUGAUUAAGGCGAGGUUCAUAGGUAGGAUGUGGGCUAAGUUUUGUAUUAGGGUUAGGGUUAGGAUUAGAGCUAGGGUUAAUUUCAGAUCUAAGAUGCAGUUAGGGAUAGUUUUAGGU
rnacentral:lncRNA from 1 species